rnacentral:rRNA from 1 species
CCUGGCUCACGAUGAACGCUAGCUACAGGCUUAACACAUGCAAGUCGAGGGGCAGCAUGGUCUUAGCUUGCUAAGACUGAUGGCGACCGGCGCACGGGUGAGUAACACGUAUCCAACCUGCCGUCUACUCUUGGACAGCCUUCUGAAAGGAAGAUUAAUACAAGAUGGCAUCAUGAGUCCGCAUGUUCACAUGAUUAAAGGUAUUCCGGUAGACGAUGGGGAUGCGUUCCAUUAGAUAGUAGGCGGGGUAACGGCCCACCUAGUCUUCGAUGGAUAGGGGUUCUGAGAGGAAGGUCCCCCACAUUGGAACUGAGACACGGUCCAAACUCCUACGGGAGGCAGCAGUGAGGAAUAUUGGUCAAUGGGCGAGAGCCUGAACCAGCCAAGUAGCGUGAAGGAUGACUGCCCUAUGGGUUGUAAACUUCUUUUAUAAAGGAAUAAAGUCGGGUAUGGAUACCCGUUUGCAUGUACUUUAUGAAUAAGGAUCGGCUAACUCCGUGCCAGCAGCCGCGGUAAUACGGAGGAUCCGAGCGUUAUCCGGAUUUAUUGGGUUUAAAGGGAGCGUAGAUGGAUGUUUAAGUCAGUUGUGAAAGUUUGCGGCUCAACCGUAAAAUUGCAGUUGAUACUGGAUAUCUUGAGUGCAGUUGAGGCAGGCGGAAUUCGUGGUGUAGCGGUGAAAUGCUUAGAUAUCACGAAGAACUCCGAUUGCGAAGGCAGCCUGCUAAGCUGCAACUGACAUUGAGGCUCGAAAGUGUGGGUAUCAAACAGGAUUAGAUACCCUGGUAGUCCACACGGUAAACGAUGAAUACUCGCUGUUUGCGAUAUACUGCAAGCGGCCAAGCGAAAGCGUUAAGUAUUCCACCUGGGGAGUACGCCGGCAACGGUGAAACUCAAAGGAAUUGACGGGGGCCCGCACAAGCGGAGGAACAUGUGGUUUAAUUCGAUGAUACGCGAGGAACCUUACCCGGGCUUAAAUUGCAGAUGAAUUACGGUGAAAGCCGUAAGCCGCAAGGCAUCUGUGAAGGUGCUGCAUGGUUGUCGUCAGCUCGUGCCGUGAGGUGUCGGCUUAAGUGCCAUGACGAGCGCAACCCUUGUUGUCAGUUACUAACAGGUUCCGCUGAGGACUCUGACAAGACUGCCAUCGUAAGAUGUGAGGAAGGUGGGGAUGACGUCAAAUCAGCACGGCCCUUACGUCCGGGGCUACACACGUGUUACAAUGGGGGGUACAGAGGGCCGCUACCACGCGAGUGGAUGCCAAUCCCCAAAACCUCUCUCAGUUCGGACUGGAGUCUGCAACCCGACUCCACGAAGCUGGAUUCGCUAGUAAUCGCGCAUCAGCCACGGCGCGGUGAAUACGUUCCCGGGCCUUGUACACACCGCCC